GACGAACGCUGGCGGCGUGCCUAAUACAUGCAAGUUGAGCGCUGAAGGUUGGUACUUGUACCAACUGGAUGAGCAGCGAACGGGUGAGUAACGCGUGGGGAAUCUGCCUUUGAGCGGGGGACAACAUUUGGAAACGAAUGCUAAUACCGCAUAAAAACUUUAAACACAAGUUUUAAGUUUGAAAGAUGCAAUUGCAUCACUCAAAGAUGAUCCCGCGUUGUAUUAGCUAGUUGGUGAGGUAAAGGCUCACCAAGGCGAUGAUACAUAGCCGACCUGAGAGGGUGAUCGGCCACAUUGGGACUGAGACACGGCCCAAACUCCUACGGGAGGCAGCAGUAGGGAAUCUUCGGCAAUGGACGAAAGUCUGACCGAGCAACGCCGCGUGAGUGAAGAAGGUUUUCGGAUCGUAAAACUCUGUUGGUAGAGAAGAACGUUGGUGAGAGUGGAAAGCUCAUCAAGUGACGGUAACUACCCAGAAAGUGACGGCUAACUACGUG
rnacentral:rRNA from 1 species